rnacentral:lncRNA from 1 species
UCCGGAAUCCAGGAAGUGUUUGGAUAUUGGAAAAACAAAAACAAAAAAAAACCUUUGUUCUGUAAGACAGUAUAGAAAGUUGGGAGAAAGGUCUACUCCAGGAUCAAGGACCUCCUGAAAGGGUCUCGAGGACCCCAAUGGUUCCUGGACCACACUUUGAAAACUAUGGAUCUGAAAAUAAUUUAGGAUUGCAUUUUCCUGUAAUGCCGCGUCUUAGCAAUGUGACCUUGGCAGGGAGGAAGAGGCCAAGGUUUCAGAGCCUCAGGAAUGAGGAACAGCAGGAGGGAACUGGACCAACAGGACCCAAGGGAGAGUAUCAAAGGCAAAACAAAGGAAAAUGAGGACAACCCAAUACUCAGAAAAAAAAACGAGUAAUUCAUGGAUUCACAACGGGCAACAAACUAGAUGACUAUUAGGAAGAGAAGAGCAAACCUUAUGAUCUCAAAAUGAUUUCUUGUUCAUUUGCAUCCUCGCAUCAAUCUAGACUUUAAGAAAUAUGUGAUUUUUAAAUAAAUGGGUAUAUCUGCA